CGUUAUUCCGUUCUAAGGGUGGAGGGAAGGCCGUUAUUCCGGUCUGAGGGUGGAGGGAGGGUCGUUAUUCUGGUCUGAGGGUGGAGGAAGGGCCGUUAUUCCGUUCUAAGGGUGGAGGGAAGGCCGUUAUUCCGGUCUGAGGAUGG